rnacentral:misc_RNA from 1 species
UACGUAGGUGGCAAGAGUUGUCCGGAAUUAUUGGGCGUAAAGCGCGCGCAGGCGGGUCCUUAAGUCUGAUGUGAAAUCCCACGGCUCACCCGUGGAGGGUCAUUGGAAACUGGUGGACUUGAGUACAGAAGAGGAAAGUGGAAUUCCAUGUGUAGCGGUGAAAUGCGUAGAGAUGUGGAGGAACACCAGUGGCGAAGGCGACUUUCUGGUCUGUAACUGACGCUGAGGCGCGAAAGCGUGGGGCGCAAACAGG